AUUGAACGCUGGCGGCAUGCUUUACACAUGCAAGUCGAACGGCAGCGCGGGCUUCGGCCUGGCGGCGAGUGGCGAACGGGUGACUAAUGCAUCGGAACGUGCCCAGUAGUGGGGGAUAGCCCGGCGAAAGCCGGAUUAAUACCGCAUACGACCUGAGGGUGAAAGCGGGGGACCGAAAGGCCUCGCGCUAUUGGAGCGGCCGAUGUCGGAUUAGCUAGUUGGUGGGGUAAAGGCUUACCAAGGCGACGAUCCGUAGCUGGUCUGAGAGGACGACCAGCCACACUGGGACUGAGACACGGCCCAGACUCCUACGGGAGGCAGCAGUGGGGAAUUUUGGACAAUGGGGGCAACCCUGAUCCAGCCAUGCCGCGUGCGGGAAGAAGGCCUUCGGGUUGUAAACCGCUUUUGUUCGGGAAGAAAUCCUCUGGGCUAAUACCCCGGGGGGAUGACGGUACCGGAAGAAUAAGCACCGGCUAACUACGUG
rnacentral:rRNA from 1 species